rnacentral:rRNA from 1 species
UAGGGAAUCUUCCACAAUGGACGCAAGUCUGAUGGAGCAACGCCGCGUGAGUGAAGAAGGUUUUCGGACCGUAAAGCUCUGUUGUUGGUGAAGAAGGAUAGAGGUAGUAACUGGCCUUUAUUUGACGGUAAUCAACCAGAAAGUCACGGCUAACUACGUGCCAGCAGCCGCGGUAAUACGUAGGUGGCAAGCGUUGUCCGGAUUUAUUGGGCGUAAAGCGAGCGCAGGCGGAAGAAUAAGUCUGAUGUGAAAGCCCUCGGCUUAACCGAGGAAUUGCAUCGGAAACUGUUUUUCUUGAGUGCAGAAGAGGAGAGUAGAACUCCAUGUGUAGCGGUGGAAUGCGUAGAUAUAUGGAAGAAUACCAGUGGCGAAGGCGGCUCUCUGGUCUGCAACUGACGCUGAGGCUCGAAAGCAUGGGUAGCGAACAGGAUUAGAUACCCUGGUAGUCCAUGCCGUAAAACGAUGAGUGCUAAGUGUUGGGAGGCUUCCGCCUCUCAGUGCUGCAGCUAACGCAUUAAGCACUCCGCCUGGGGGAGUACGACCGCAAGG